UCUUCCAUGAACUUCCAGUUUAGCUCUUCUGCCUCUAGUGAACAACUUUUACCAAUGGUAUAAAUUUCUACUAGGCAGUCACUUGCCAAAUUAUAUUUCCUUAAGAGGACUUCCGAUAUCUUUCUUCAAAGUUACUAAAGCUCUUUAAAUGGUGGAAAUUCAGAAUAAUGAAGACUGCGGCAUGGUGCUCUACAUGUAUGAAGUUAUUUAAUACUUAUAACAACUUUAUGAGAAUACUCCCCUCUUCAUGUCGGCAGAGCAACAAAGGCAAACUUUGGCAACCACUUGAUUGUCUAACUGAAAUGAGCUGAGCUUUGGAAAACUGGAAAAGAAAUAUGCCUUUUGGUCACUAUAUGUCAGAGUGCUGAAAGAAUGAAAUGGACGCAUGUCAGCCCAAAGACAUAAAGCAGAAAGAAACCACUUCAUGUCCAGAAGCAUAUCCUAGAAGACAACUGCUAAAGAGAAGGGAGUAGUAAAAGAAAAAAAAAAAAGAAGGAAGAAAAUCUUCAAAGCAAAUGAAAAGAAACAGACAGUUCUUCAAAACAAGAGAGGAAAUUGGAAAAAGAACAUUUGGGGAAGAAGAAAGCGUGUGGAAUUUCUCUAAACAGAAGAUGGAAUGAUCCAUUUUACCUGCAGAGAGUGCAAGGAUCAAGGAAAGGUAUUACAUCUUCUACAAAUUGCAGGCUUGCGGCACUCCUGAAUUGAACAAGAUCAUCAACACCAUUUUACUAACAGCAUGUGCUUACUUGGUGUCUCUGUGUCAUAUUUUAGUAAUUCUUGCAAUAUUUCAAACCUUUUCUAUAUUAUUGUAUCUGCUAUAGUUAUUUGUGAUAAGUGGCCUUCGAUGUUACUAUUGUAAUUGUUUUGUGGCAUCUCAAACUGUAUCCCUAAAA